AUUUGGAGCUAGGCUCCGGGCAAAUGGAUGGCUUACAAUUCAUCUCAACCACCUACUAGCUGAGUUUCCGUGGUUAAGUUGUUCAGAUUAAGUUUCUUCCUCCUCAUUGAUCAAAAAGGAAUGAUAGUUUCUACCUUCCUCAAUUUUGGCACAGAUUCACUUACACGUAGAGCAUACAAAACAAAAAACAAAAAAAGCCAACAACAACCUUAUCUCGGUGUAGACGAAGUCCAGAAAUGUUGAAAUCCUUAUUAUCAUUAUACUAGCUAAUUUACCUCUAAACGUCGUGGGGCUCUUUCCUUUCCUCGGCAGGUGAAAGGAGUGUGCGAACGUGAAGGAAGGAAGGCGCCCACCGCAGCUGCGCGGCAGGGAGGCACGUGGGGGCGGGGCUGCCCGGAAGGUGCGCGUCAGGGGUCGGGGCCUCGGAGGGGCUUUGACGACGUCCCACGUGUACUUCACCCGGUGCUGGCAGUAAUAAUCCCCGCCCCCCGCCUCCCGGACGACGGAAGGGCAGUCGGAUGGGCGUGGCGCCGCCCAGCGUGUUCCGGAAGAAGCCCCCCCGCAGCUGAGUUGUGCCCAGGAGCCUGCGGGGUGAGAAGGUGGUCUCAGGCAGAGGGAGCAGGUUUUUGGCAACAAGGGAUGAGAUUUGAAGCUGAAUGUUAAGGGCCUAUAGGGCAAGAUGCUCAGACAAGGCACCUGCUGAACCCUUCGAGUUCACUGCUCUUCUUGUCCCCAAGAGCUGUGGGAUGAACCAGAAAAAUCAUGCUCCCUACGUUGCUCUGAUUAUGGUAGCAAGAGAUCCAGUGGACAUUUGUGAGCUGAGAUUUGGUGGUGCUGUCAGGCCUGGGACUUCAAUGAGUGGACUAUCUAUUGUGUCAUCACUAACAAAUCCAGCAAAAUUCUUGGUACUGUUGGAAGGUGCACAGAAACACACUGAAAAAAACAUUCACCUACAAGAAAUUUGA
ensembl:lncRNA